rnacentral:rRNA from 1 species
UCAUUUGACGUUAGCGACAGAAGAAGCACCGGCUAACUCCGUGCCAGCAGCCGCGGUAAUACGGAGGGUGCGAGCGUUAAUCGGAAUUACUGGGCGUAAAGCGCAUGCAGGUGGUUUGUUAAGUCAGAUGUGAAAGCCCGGGGCUCAACCUCGGAACUGCAUUUGAAACUGGCAGACUAGAGUACUGUAGAGGGGGGUAGAAUUUCAGGUGUAGCGGUGAAAUGCGUAGAGAUCUGAAGGAAUACCGGUGGCGAAGGCGGCCCCCUGGACAGAUACUGACACUCAGAUGCGAAAGCGUGGGGAGCAAACAGGAUUAGAUACCCUGGUAGUCCACGCUGUAAACGAUGUCUACUUGGAGGUUGUGGCCUUGAGCCGUGGCUUUCGGAGCUAACGCGUUAAGUAGACCGCCUGGGGAGUACGGUCGCAAGAUUAAAACUCAAAUGAAUUGACGGGGGCCCGCACAAGCGGUGGAGCAUGUGGUUUAAUUCGAUGCAACGCGAAGAACCUUACCUACUCUUGACAUCCAGAGAAUCUAGCGGAGACGCUGGAGUGCCUUCGGGAACUCUGAGACAGGUGCUGCAUGGCUGUCGUCAGCUCGUGUUGUGAAAUGUUGGGUUAAGUCCCGCAACGAGCGCAACCCUUAUCCUUGUUUGCCAGCGAGUAAUGUCGGGAACUCCAGGGAGACUGCCGGUGAUAAACCGGAGGAAGGUGGGGACGACGUCAAGUCAUCAUGGCCCUUACGAGUAGGGCUACACACGUGCUACAAUGGCGCAUACAGAGGGCGGCCAACUUGCGAAAGUGAGCGAAUCCCAAAAAGUGCGUCGUAGUCCGGAUUGGAGUCUGCAACUCGACUCCAUGAAGUCGGAAUCGCUAGUAAUCGUGGAUCAGAAUGCCACGGUGAAUACGUUCCCGGGCCUUGUACACACCGCCCGUCACACCAUGGGAGUGGGCUGCAAAAGAAGUGGGUAGUUUAACCUUCGGGAGGACGCUCACCACUUUGUGGUUCAUGACUGGGGUGAAGUCGUAACAAGGUAGCGCUAGGGGAACCUGGCGCUGGAUCACCUCCUUAUACGAUGAU